rfam:Macrostomum lignano uti_cns_0006617, whole genome shotgun sequence.
AAAACGGCCCUUUUGAGGGCCACAUCCUAUUAGAAUCCAUUUCGGGU